AAACGGGAUUAGAUACCCCGGUAGUCCACGCCGUAAACGAUGUCUACUAGCCGUUGGAGGACUUGAUCCUUUAGUGGCGCAGCUAACGCGAUAAGUAGACCGCCUGGGGAGUACGGUCGCAAGAUUAAAACUCAAAUGAAUUGACGGGGGCCCGCACAAGCGGUGGAGCAUGUGGUUUAAUUCGAAGCAACGCGAAGAACCUUACCUACUCUUGACAUCCAGUGAACUUUUGAGAGAUCAAUUGGUGCCUUCGGGAACACUGAGACAGGUGCUGCAUGGCUGUCGUCAGCUCGUGUUGUGAAAUGUUGGGUUAAGUCCCGUAACGAGCGCAACCCUUGUCCUUAGUUACCAUCAUUAAGUUGGGGACUCUAAGGAGACUGCCGGUGACAAACCGGAGGAAGGCGGGGACGACGUCAAGUCAUCAUGGCCCUUACGAGUAGGGCUACACACGUGCUACAAUGGCAUGUACAAAGGGUUGCCAAGCCGCGAGGUGGAGCUAA
rnacentral:rRNA from 1 species